rnacentral:snoRNA from 1 species
GAGUCAAUGAUUGAGAAUUUUAUGUUAUCUGAAGACAGGUGAUGACUUAAAAAUCAUGCUUGAUAGGAUUAUGCUGAGAUCC